rnacentral:lncRNA from 1 species
AAAAAAAACACAACAAAAACAACAAAAACUUGGGUUUCUCUGCAAUAAAGGUCAAAGCCUCAUUGAAAUUACACCAUAUAGGGAUAUUUUUAACCAGCAGAAAAUUUCCUGUUUUUAAAGGCAGCAAUGCAAAUUUGAAGUAAGACAAUGUAAAUUAUAGAAUGACUUCAACAAGCUAUUUUGUGACCUCGUGCUCUUUAGAGCUAUUGAAGGGAGUUAGCUGUGUUUCUGGUGGGUGGCUAAAACAGUGGAGCUGAAGGAAAAUAUGUUGUGGGGGUGAGGGAGCCUGGCUGUUGUGAUACAUAAGUGAUGAUUUAGGGUUACUGAGGAUGUUUGUGUUGCCUUAGUGAUGGCUUCCUGGGAUUUUUUUGGUGGAGUUCACAAGAACUCGGAUUGGGCCUUUGUGUGGGGCUGCCGGGCUGCAAAUGCAAAUGCGGGAUAUGGGCAAAGUCACCCAUAUUUCCGCUUGGCUGAGCGCUUCUGGUUGCUUCAUCUGAAUCCUGCUCAAUUUAGCUCAUAAAAACCUCUAUUUAUUGAAAAGUCUCCAGAACUAACUAACAUGGUGUUUUUUUUUCAGAUGGGAUUUGGAUGAUGCAACACACAAAACUGAGAAUGCUUGUGUUUAUUUUGUCUUUAAGGACUCGUCCAGCCAGCAUCUGCCACUGCUUCUGUCUGCAUGAGCAGUGGUUGCCUGUUGCAUGGACUUGCUGGCUCCUUCAGGGAAUGGCAGUGGGAAACACAGGAAUCUGCUGCGAGUCCGCCUUGCGUGGUGCUUCUGUUGUGGGUGAUGCUCACCUCACGCUGGAGCCUCAGCAAAGACACUCGGACGACUGCUGCUUUUGAAGGAAUGUCCUCCCGUGGUGCGGGACGUUUGGUGCUGGUGGCACAGGAGGUGAUGGUGUCCCUCUUUCACUGUGGGCAGCUGAAGGUCUCUGACCAUCUCCUCUGAUCCUACAGAACCACAUUCUGGGCUCCAUCUGAAGGAUACUCUUGCUGAGUUAUUACAAAUAUCUGGUGGGUUAUUUAAAUUUAUCUCUGUCUGCAGAGCAGCAGCAUGCUCACCUUGGGCAAACGUGUGUGUGCUUCAAAGGCUGCCUCAGCCUCACGAGCUUGGACCUGGCACCUCUGAGCUGCCACCACGAGCAUCUUCCCUGACAUUGUUUUGGACCAUCAGAUAGCUCUUCACUGGGGGGUGACGCCAAAUCCCCAGGCCCACCUGUCCUUGCAGCUCUACCACGAGUGGCUGGGGGGGGUCUCAG